rnacentral:rRNA from 1 species
UUCCGAACCCGGAAGUUAAGCCCGCCAGCGCCGAUGGUACUGCACCGGGGACGGUGUGGGAGAGUAGGACGCCGCCGGAC